rnacentral:rRNA from 1 species
AUUGAACGCUGGCGGCAGGCCUAACACAUGCAAGUCGAGCGAGCGGCGGACGGGUGAGUAAUGUCUGGGAAACUGCCUGAUGGAGGGGGAUAACUACUGGAAACGGUAGCUAAUACCGCAUACCAUCAGAUGUGCCCAGAUGGGAUUAGCUAGUAGGUGGGGUAACGGCGUACCUAGGCGACGAUCCCUAGCUGGUCUGAGCGGAUGACCAGCCAAACUGGAACGGAGACACGGGCCAGACUCCUACGGGAGGCAGCAGUGGGGAAGUUUGCACAAGUGGGGCAAGCCUGAUGCAGCCAGGCCGCGUGUGUGAAGAAGGCCUUCGGGUUGUAAAGCACUUUCAGCGGGGAGGCGUUACCCGCAGAAGAAGCACCGGCUAACUCCGUGCCAGCAGCCGCGGUAAUUC